rnacentral:rRNA from 1 species
AGAAUCAACGCUGGCGGCGUGCCUAACACAUGCAAGUCGAACGAGAAAGUGGAGCAAUCCAUGAGUAAAGUGGCGACCGGGUGAGUAACACGUGACUAACCUACCUUCGAGUGGGGGAUAACAUCGGGAAACCGAUGCUAAUACCGCAUAACAUCGCAAGAUCAAAGCAGCAAUGCGCUGGAAGAGGGGGUCGCGGCUGAUUAGCUAGUUGGCGGGGUAACGGCCCACCAAGGCGAAGAUCGGUAGCCGGCCUGAGAGGGCGCACGGCCACACUGGAACUGAAACACGGUCCAGACUCCUACGGGAGGCAGCAGUGGGGAAUUUUGCGCAAUGGGGGAAACCCUGACGCAGCAACGCCGCGUGGAGGAUGAAGCCCUUGGGGCGUAAACUCCUUUCGACCAAGACGAUAAUGACGGUACUGGUGGAAGAAGCACCGGCUAACUCUGUGCCAGCAGCCGC